UUAAUUGAAACCAAAAAGAGGUAUGCUACUGUUAAUAGCAUUAAUGGAAUACUCCCCCCCCAAUUAAU
rnacentral:tRNA from 1 species